UCGCCCCCCCAUCCCCUUCCCCUAUAAAUCGGCGAGCGUGUCUCCGCCUCUCGCUUCCCCAAAUUUCCAUCAACCUCCUUCUCCUCCUCCUCCACCCAUAUCGGCGGUCUCGAUCCACUUCGAGCCCCCCCCCCCCCCUCAUUCCCCUCCGCGUCGCCUGCCCAAUCCUGCUUCUCCUUAACCUACCCCGACUCGCUUCGAGAAUUAGGGUUUCGUUUGCGGAGGAUCCUUCGCGCGGUCGCGUCCAAACCCUAGGACCGUUUCUUGAUUCCUGGGAUCCCGUCUUGGAGGCUCGAGCGUCCUCGCUUGGGUGCGGAAAACCCUCGCGCUGUGCUCGAUCGGCCCUGUCGAGGGGUCGUUCCCGGCCUGUCAGACCCGAUGGAGGCUCCCUCGGGCCUUGGCGGAGCCGUUCCCGUGCCCGCAUCCCAGGCUGCCAAAAAGGAGUGGCGUGCCAUCCCCGAGCACUCCUUUCGGAGCAACGGAAGCGAGGAGCAAGAGCAUGUUAAAUUGGGACAAUCAGCUGAGAGAACGAUACACGAGGUGCAGGUGGGUACAGGGUCGCGGGUGGACUACUGUGCGAUCACAAUUGAUGCUGAUGAUGCCGAGUUGAAUGGUGAUAUAUUGCAGCGGAAGCUGCAAGAAAUCAUGAGGCAAAGAGAAGAGCUUCAGCAAAUGGAGAUUGAACUACAGGCCAGGGUGAUUGCCAGGUCAGAGAUCUUGGAAGUGCAGAAUAGUUUUGAAGUGCAGCUCAAGGAGCACAUGAAUAUCAAUGCCGAUCUAAAGGAGCAACUACAUGAAAGGGAACAAAGCAUACUUGAGCUGGAGAGGAAACUAGAAGAGAAGGAUAGGGAGCUACGAGCUAUGAAAAUUGACACAGAAGCGGCAUGGGCUAAAGAAGAUCUUCUCCGAGAACAAAACAAAGAGCUAGCCACCUUCAGAAGGGAGCUUGAUAAUUCGGAAGCAGAAAGAGCACAACAUAUGAGCCAAAUUCGUGAUCUCCAAGAACAUAUUCAAGAGAAAGAGAGUCAGAUCCUUGCAUUGCAGGAGGAGCAUAGAGUUGCACGAGAAACUAUUCUUUUCAAGGAUGAACAGUUAAGGGAGGCACAAGCUUGGGUUGCACGGGUUCAAGAAAUGGAUGCUUUGCAGUCCUCCACUAACCAGUCGUUGCAAGCUGAACUAAGAGAACGCACAGAGCAGUUUAACCAAUAUUGGAUUGGUUUUCAAAGGCAGUUUGUUGAAAUGGAGCGUCAUCAUCUGCAAGCCAUACAGCAGCUUCAGCUGGAAUUGGCUGAGGCAAGGAAAAAGAAUGGAAAUUAUGAAGAUGGUUCACAAAUUACUCAUGAAAACUCAACCGAUUCAUCUUCGUAUAAUGGAAAUCAGAUUAAUGUGAUAGAUGGUGGCAAAUCAAAUGGUCACUUGGGAUUUGCAUCUAAUGGAAGUGUAGAUGGGACUUCAUCUCAUGUUUUAUCUUCCAGUUCAUCUUCUAAGAUUGAACAUGCCCCCAGUGUUCCUGUUGUGCCAUCGUCCAUACUUGGAAUGAAUGCCUUCAUUCCUCCUGGCCCAGUGGCUGCAUUACAUCCUUAUGUAAUGAAUCCAUUAGGUGUUCCACAAGCUGUAGCUUCCAGCAAUUCACCUAUUCCACAAUCUCACAUAGAUCAUUUUCAAUCAGUGCCUGUGGUUCUAACUCAACAACAUUUGCAAAAUCAACAGGCCCUUUCAGAUAUCUCACAGAUACCUGAAAGCAAGCAUCCACCAUCACAGACAGAGCAGGAAUUUUUAAGAUCAGAUACCCAUUAUAGCUUUGAUAUGCCUGGUGAAAUGCAGAUGGUUCAUCUAGACAAUCUUAACAGCCAUAGAGACCAGCAACAGAUGUCUGGACAUUCAGGCUUUGACUCUAGUGAUGAAGUCCAGGUGCUCCAAUCAAAUGUGAAACAGCACCCAGUUAUCCAAGAAUCACAAGGGACCUCAGAUGCACCUUCUCACUUGGACUCUGCAAGAGGGUUCGUGCCACCAGAAAAGAAGAAUGCAACCAAGGCCGAGGACAUUGUGGCUGCAGGGAAACAAUCACAAGAGCAGGUGCCGAGAACUGGACAACAACAACCUACAUCUAACAUAAUGUUAUCCGCUAGUAAAAACUCUGUCAGUUCAAAUGAAUCUACCGCCUUGGCUGCCCCAAUUUCAAGUACUUUGAUGUCUAGUAAACCACCAGUGGAUCCCAAUCUCUUAGAUGAAAGAUCACUUUUGGCUUGCAUUGUGCGUGCAGUGCCUGCUGGAUCAGAUGGAAGAAUCAGAAUCAGUACGACGCUACCAAAUAGGCUUGGCAAAAUGCUUGCGCCCCUUCAUUGGCAUGACUAUAAGAAGCAUUAUGGAAAGCUUGAUGAUUUUGUUACUCGUCAUCCUGAAUUAUUUGUUAUUGAAGGUGACUUUAUCCACCUUCGAGAAGGAGCCCAGCAAAUUAUAUCUGCAACUGCAGCUGUUGCUAAAGUUGCUGCUGCUACUGCAUCUUCUGCUCCUUACACAUCGUUGUUGCCAUCAGUUGCUGUCACCCCAGUUUCUCAAGUCAAUCGCCAAAAAAAGGUACAAUCAAUUGAAUCAAAAACUGCAAACACUAUGCCCUAUGCAGAUGGUGCUGCUGUGAUUAAUGCUGGAGAGACUAGUGACAAACGCACCCAGAUUUUGAUGAGACAGGAUGAACAACCAAAUGGUGUCAGAUUAAAUAUUAUUCAGGGGCUAUCGGAUGUAACAGUUUCAAGUAAAUCAAAGAAUAUCCAAGAAGCUAAUGGUUCACAAUCGGAAAUCAAGUCUGGUCACUCAUCUCUGUACUUCAAGGUUGGAAACACAGCAAACCUUGAUAGAACAGGUUUGUCUCCUCCUCAAAACAAAGGACUGACUAAUGGAAGACAUAGUUUUGGAGGAAAGCAGCUGGGGAGGUCUUCUGGGGCUGGCUUAAUUUCAAGGAGAUAGAGCCACUGAUUGAAUGGAAAUUGCUGCCAAAUGGAAGUUUGAAGAUAAUUUACUCAGGAUAAAGCUCUGUGUCAUCUUUUUGACUGAAAUGUGUCAGCUCUUGGUGUUGAGAAGAGACGAGAGCUCUUGCUGGGAGAUUGGCUAUCUACUGAUCCUUAGAGAUCCGUAGUUACUGAAAUGUGUCGAUGGACUUGUUAGGCUGUGGAUUUAUGAUGGCCCCUUGCUCUUUUUGUAGUAUAAAGCUGUGAGUCUCUUCAGUAUUAACAAUUCACGUCUCUCAGGCGAAAUCAAUAAAAAGAGGCUAUCGCAAGACGCGGGUGUGGCGACUAAGGUGUUCUGCUUAUAUUUUAUCUGCACACUAUUGCGUGUGAAAUAUGUUUAAUUUACUUAUAAAUGAUGCCUAUUUUAUGUUCCUUCGUUUGACGUUGUAACUUCGUGUUGUAAUAAUUUCUUAGGUAUCGCAUUUCCCA